AAGGGAGACCUAAUUCCGGUAGGAGACGAAAAAAAAGUAGUCCCUACCAAGAAUCAAUCCCAAAAGGUCGAAGCGAGGCAAGAUUGGCUUUCAAACUAGGUUCUGGGUUCAAACAAGACCUGAAUCAGGAACAAGGGCUAUUAGCUCAGGUGGUUAGAGCGCACCCCUGAUAAGGGUGAGGUCCCUGGUUCGAGUCCAGGAUGGCCCACCUGCACAGGUGGCAAAAACAAGAGAAGCUCCGAAUCAGCACCUUAUCUUAUAUACAUAUAUAAGAGAGAAUGCUGGCUCUGAGUACAGAGUCCAGAGGAACCUUGAAAACUGCAUAGAGCUAGGUGAAAAAGCCAAAAAAGAAGACCGCAA
rnacentral:tRNA from 1 species